rnacentral:rRNA from 1 species
GAUGAACGCUGGCGGCGUGCCUAAUACAUGCAAGUCGAGCGAACAGACGAGGAGCUUGCUCCUCUGACGUUAGCGGCGGACGGGUGAGUAACACGUGGAUAACCUACCUAUAAGACUGGGAUAACUUCGGGAAACCGGAGCUAAUACCGGAUAAUAUAUUGAACCGCAUGGUUCAAUAGUGAAAGACGGUUUUGCUGUCACUUAUAGAUGGAUCCGCGCCGCAUUAGCUAGUUGGUAAGGUAACGGCUUACCAAGGCGACGAUGCGUAGCCGACCUGAGAGGGGGGUCGGCCACACUGGAACUGAGCCCCGGUGCAGACUCGUAGGGGAGGCAGCAGUAGUGAAUCUUCCGCAAUGGGCGAAAGCCUGACGGAGCAACGCAGCGUGAGUGAUGAAGGUCUUCGGAUCGUAAAACUCUGUUAUUAGGGAAGAACAAACGCGUAAGUAACUAUGCACGUCUUGACGGUACCUAAUCAGAAAGCAACGGCUAACUACGUG